rnacentral:sRNA from 1 species
GGAAAGGUCACAUGAGCUGCUGUUUGUGGCAGCACCCACCAUACUGCCUUGGCACAUAGUAGGGACACUGCCCAAGUUUACUGAUGCAUUUGAUGCAUAUUUGGGGGCACCUGCCAUGUAAUAGGUACUCACCCGGAGCCACAUCUUUGAAGUGCCACAAUCCAUUUAUUCAGCAGUCAUUUAGUGAACCAGCAGACAGCCUCCCUGCCCUCAGGGAGCUCAUCCUCUCAGGAGGAAGACAAGUGAUCAAUUCCUUGAGGGCAGGGCAUUGCCUGUCAGGUGCACAGCUGUCUCCUAGCGUGUGGCUUCUCCUCAGUGGUAGCUCUGGGCGCAAGCAUCAUCUGUAACAAGAUCCCAGGCCUGGCUCCCAGACAGCGGGCGAUCUGCCAGAGCCGGCCCGACGCCAUCAUCGUCAUAGGAGAAGGCUCACAAAUGGGCCUGGACGAGUGUCAGUUUCAGUUCCGCAAUGGCCGCUGGAACUGCUCUGCACUGGGAGAGCGCACAGUCUUCGGGAAGGAGCUCAAAGUGGG